rnacentral:lncRNA from 1 species
CCAGCGCUGGGGAGAGCUGUGCAGAAUAGGACUGGAGGUGGAAGUGUUGGAGAUUAACAGCCAGGUGGAGGGGACGGGGGAGGCCCUGGGUCAGUCCUCAGGGAACCCCCAUUGUGAAGGGGGAAAGGGAAACUCAGGCCCAGUCCUCAGGGGCCCCCAGUCUGAGAGGAAGGAGGACACACGAGCCAUAUUUGCAGAGAAACACCAGCCUGCGAGAGGAGGCAGUUUGGGGUUUCAGCAGGUGGCCCAGUGCUGAGACACAAGGGAGGUGUUUCUGGUCUGCAGACACUGAGGACGCUUGCUAUGUGGCGUGGUGGACGGUGGGUUCCCAUGUGUGCUCCCAGGGCCGGGAUGAGGUCAUGUUAGAAGUGGAUCUGGGGUCUUGGAUGAGGGCUUGACCCUGGGGACUGAGAGGUGGAGAAGACACAGUCCCAUCUGUCUCACGGCAGAGACAGGUUUGGGGGCACACGUGAAGGUUUGACAUAUAGUAAACACAUGUCAUGGUGGUUUGUUGUACAGAUUA